CAAGAACUUUCCUACAAAGUGUCUGUGACGGAUUGAAUUAUUUUUCUCAACUUGUUACUCCCUUCUUUCCACACGAGGAUUACAUAUCCCUUUCCCAUUGGCAUUGGUGACUUAUUUGGGCCGAUGAAAUGGGAGUGUAUGUGAUACACUCCUCAUACAUAGGCGGAGUUUCGCUCUUGUUGCCCAAGCUGGACUGCAGUGGCGCGAGCCUGGCUCACUGCAAACUCUGCCUUCCGGUUUCAAGCGAUUCUCCUGCCUCAGCCUCCGGAGUAGCUGGGACUACAGGCACACGCCACGCCCAGAGAAAAACAGAUCUUCAACAGUUUUUUGAUGGAAAUAAACAAUUUCAGGUUGAGACAACACAUCAACUUCAUGCAUUCCUUCAGCUUGAAGUCAACUGGGCCUGGGUUGAAUCUGGUUCUGUUUUGUUGUUGUUUCCUUUUGUUUUUUAGCAUUUGACUAUGUACAGUCUCUAUUUCUAAGUCUUGAUUUCCUCAUUUAUAAAACAAAGCAACUAAAUGAUAUCAAAUACCCUUGUUUUGAAAAUCAAAGAAUAAGCACGGCACCCAAGACAACUUUUUGUAUCACAGGCAGACAUGAAUGCUUUUUUCCUUUUCCUUUUCUUAUCAUAAAAACCUAUAUUUUAUGACUUUUACAUUUAUUCCUAGAUGCUCUCAUAUGCAUUAUCUCAUUUUUACAAUAACAUUAUAAAUAUAAACACUGUUAUGCUAUUUUACAGAUGAGAGACUUGAAGCACAGAAGGCUAAAACUACCUUUAACUUCUAAAGAAAUUUUGUGAGAAGCAUCUGAGACUCUUGACAGUUAAAAUCCCUAU
rnacentral:lncRNA from 1 species